rnacentral:rRNA from 1 species
AACGAACGCUGGCGGCAUGCCUAACACAUGCAAGUCGAACGAGACCUUCGGGUCUAGUGGCGCACGGGUGCGUAACGCGUGGGAACCUGCCCUUAGGUUCGGAAUAACUCCCCGAAAGGGGUGCUAAUACCGGAUAAUGUCUUCGGACCAAAGAUUUAUCGCCUUUGGAUGGGCCCGCGUUGGCUUAGCUAGUUGGUAGGGUAAAAGCCUACCAAGGCGACGAUCCAUAGCUGGUCUGAGAGGAUGAUCAGCCACACUGGGGCUGAGACACGGCCCAGACUCCUACGGGAGGCAGCAGUGGGGAAUAUUGGACAAUGGGCGAAAGCCUGAUCCAGCAAUGCCGCGUGAGUGAUGAAGGCCUUAGGGUUGUAAAGCUCUUUUACCCGGGAUGAUAAUGACAGUACCGGGAGAAUAAGCUCCGGCUAACUCCGUG